rnacentral:rRNA from 1 species
GACGAACGCUGGCGGCGUGCUUAACACAUGCAAGUCACGGGGGCUCGCAAGAGCAACCGGCGAACGGGUGCGUAACACGUGAGCAACCUGCCGAUCUGAGGGGGAUAGCCGGCCCAACGGCCGGGUAAUACCGCAUACGUUCUCGAGAGGGAGUCCUCUUGGGAAGAAACCUCCGGGGCAGAUCGAGGGGCUCGCGGCCUAUCAGCUAGUUGGCGGUGUAACGGACCACCAAGGCGACGACGGGAGCUGGUCUGAGAGGAUGGCCAGCCACAUUGGGACUGAGAGACGGCCCAGACUCCUACGGGAGGCAGCAGUGGGGAAUCUUGCGCAAUGGCCGAAAGGCUGACGCAGCGACGCCGCGUGUGGGAUGAAGCAUUUCGGUGUGUAAACCACUGUUGCCCGGGACGAACAUCCUCUUUCGAGAGGACUGACGGUACCGGGUGAGGAAGCACCGGCUAACUCCGUGCCAGCCGCCGCUGUAAU